GACGAACGCUGGCGGCGUGCCUAACACAUGCAAGUCGAGCGAAUGAAGUUCCUUCGGGAAUGGAUUUAGCGGCGGACGGGUGAGUAACACGUGGGCAACCUGCCUCAUAGAGGGGAAGUAGCCUUCCGAAAGGGAGAUUAAUACCGCAUAAGAUUGUAGUACCGCAUGGUACAGCAAUUAAAGGAGCAAUCCGCUAUGAGAUGGGCCCGCGGCGCAUUAGCUAGUUGGUGAGGUAACGGCUCACCAAGGCGACGAUGCGUAGCCGACCUGAGAGGGUGAUCGGCCACAUUGGGACUGAGACACGGCCCAGACUCCUACGGGAGGCAGCAGUGGGGAAUAUUGCACAAUGGGGGAAACCCUGAUGCAGCAACGCCGCGUGAGUGAUGACGGCCUUCGGGGUGUAAAGCUCUGUCUUCAGGGACGAUAAUGACGGUACCUGAGGAGGAAGCCACGGCUAACUACGUGCCAGCAGCCGCGGUAAACAUACUCG
rnacentral:rRNA from 1 species